rnacentral:lncRNA from 1 species
AAAGGAGGGAGAGGAGGUAAUGGAGGAAUAAGCGAGAAGGGAGGUGGUGGUGGAGGAGGAUGAGGAGUUAGGCCAGGGAUUGGCGGGAAUGGAAACAAUGGUGAUGGAGGAGGCUGGAUCGGGUUAGGAGGAAAUAGUGGAGGAGGCUGAGGAGGAGGAGUUAGGCCAGGGAUUGGUGGGAAUGGAAACAAUGGUGAUGGAGGAGGCUGGAAUGGGUUAGGAGGAAAUAGUGGAGGAGGCUGGAAUGGGUUAGGAGGAAAUAGUGGAGGUGUUGGAAAUGAAAACUGAUUAGGAUGGUGCACUGCUUUCUGAUCUGGUAAUGUUGUGCUUUCAAAAGAUUCUGAAGUUUUGGUCUUUUUGGUAUUUCCUGGAAUAAUAGGUGGAAGUAAAG